rnacentral:rRNA from 1 species
CCCUGCCAUUUGUACACACCGCCCGUCGCUCCUACCGAUUGAGUAUACCGGUGAAUUAUUCGGAUUCCAGUUUUGGGUGGCAACACUCAAAGCCGGGAAAAGAUUUGUAAGCCAUGAUACUUAGAGGAAGGAGAAGUCGUAACAAGGUUU